AGGGUAGAUAAGGAUGCUUCAAACGCAUCCGAAUCAGGGAAGCAUCUGAAACCAGGACAAACAGUGAAAUUUGCCAAUGAACUAGACAACAAAGAGAGUUGUUCUGAAAAGCAAAGACCAUCGGGGAUUUCUCUCGGCUGACUUGUCUUGAAGGAGUGUAAGCCAAGUGCCGCACGGUCCCAACUGAUUGCUAAAACCUAGGUUCGUAACAAUUGGUAUCAGAGCAACCACU
rnacentral:misc_RNA from 1 species